GACCCAGUGGCGGAUGGUCCGCGUCUGUCUCCAUUGUAUGUAACCUCGAAUCGCUAACAGCAGAAGGCGCCCGUUCGACUCGGGCCUGGGUCA